UCCGUGCAGUGGCACAUGCCUGUAGUCCCAGCUACUCAGGAGGCUGAGGCUGGAGGAUCACUUGAGUCCAGGAGUUCUAGGCUAUAGUGCGCUAUGCUGAUUGGGUGUCCGAACUAAGUUCAGCAUCAGUAUGGUGACCUCCAGGGAGCAGGGGACCACCAGACUGCCUACAGAGGAGUAAACCAACCCAGGUUGGAAACAGAGCAGGUCAAAACUCCCGUGCUGAUCAGUAGUGGGAUUGCACCUGUGAAUAGCCACGGCACUCCAGCUUGGGCAACAUAGCGAGACCCCAUCUCU
rnacentral:SRP_RNA from 1 species